UACGUAGGGGGCUAGCGUUGUCCGGAUUUAUUGGGCGUAAAGAGCGUGUAGGCGGCCAGAUAGGUCUGCUGUGAAAACUCGAGGCUCAACCUCGAGAUGUCGGCGGAAACCAUUUGGCUAGAGUCCGGAAGAGGAAGGUGGAAUUCCUGGUGUAGCGGUGAGAUGCGCAGAUAUCAGGAAGAACACCCGUGGCGAAGGCGGCUUUCUGGGCCGAUACUGACGCUGAGGAGCGAAAGCGUGGGGAGCGAACAGG
rnacentral:rRNA from 1 species